rnacentral:rRNA from 1 species
ACAGGGUGACAGGUGGUGGCAUGGUUGUCGUCAGCUCGUGUCGUGAGAUGUUGGGUUAAGUCCCGCAACGAGCGCAACCCUCGACCUUAGUUGCCAGCAUUCAGUUGGGCACUCUAAGGUGACUGCCGGCUAAAAGUCGGAGGAAGGUGGGGAUGACGUCAAAUCAUCAUGCCCCUUAUGACCUGGGCUACACACGUGCUACAAUGGGCGGUACAACGAGUUGCGAGUCGGUGACGGCGAGCUAAUCUCUUAAAGCCAAUCUCAGUUCGGAUUGUAGGCUGCAACUCGCCUACAUGAAGUCGGAAUCGCUAGUAAUCGCGGAUCAGCACGCCGCGGUGAAUACGUUCCCGGGCCUU